rnacentral:rRNA from 1 species
AGUGAACGCUGGCGGUAGGCCUAACACAUGCAAGUCGAACGGCAGCACAGUAAGAGCUUGCUCUUACGGGUGGCGAGUGGCGGACGGGUGAGGAAUACAUCGGAAUCUACUUUUUCGUGGGGGAUAACGUAGGGAAACUUACGCUAAUACCGCAUACGACCUACGGGUGAAAGCAGGGGAUCUUCGGACCUUGCGCGAUUGAAUGAGCCGAUGUCGGAUUAGCUAGUUGGCGGGGUAAAGGCCCACCAAGGCGACGAUCCGUAGCUGGUCUGAGAGGAUGAUCAGCCACACUGGAACUGAGACACGGUCCAGACUCCUACGGGAGGCAGCAGUGGGGAAUAUUGGACAAUGGGCGCAAGCCUGAUCCAGCCAUACCGCGUGGGUGAAGAAGGCCUUCGGGUUGUAAAGCCCUUUUGUUGGGAAAGAAAAGCAGCAGGUUAAUACCCCGCUGUUCUGACGGUACCCAAAGAAAGCACCGGCUAACUUCGUG